rnacentral:tRNA from 2 species
AGUGAAGUCAGCUAAUUAAGCUCUCGGGCCCAUACCCCGAAAACGUUGGUCAAAACCUUCCUUCACUA